UGAGGGAGCUUGCUCCCAAAGAUUAGCGGCGGACGGGUGAGUAACACGUGGGCAACCUGCCUGUAAGACUGGGAUAACUCCGGGAAACCGGGGCUAAUACCGGAUAAUAUCUAUUUAUACAUAUAAUUAGAUGGAGAAGAUGGUUCUGCUAUCACUUACAGAUGGGCCCGCGGCGCAUUAGCUAGUUGGUGAGGUAACGGCUCACCAAGGCGACGAUGCGUAGCCGACCUGAGAGGGUGAUCGGCCACACUGGGACUGAGACACGGCCCAGACUCCUACGGGAGGCAGCAGUAGGGAAUCUUCCGCAAUGGACGAAAGUCUGACGGAGCAACGCCGCGUGAGUGAUGAAGGUUUUCGGAUCGUAAAACUCUGUUGUUAGGGAAGAACAAGUAUCGGAGUAACUGCCGGUACCUUGACGGUACCUAACCAGAAAGCCACGGCUAACUACGUGCCAGCAGCCGCGGUAAUACGUAGGUGGCAAGCGUUGUCCGGAAUUAUUGGGCGUAAAGCGCGCGCAGCGGUUCCUUAAGUCUAGAUGUGAAAGCCCACGGCUCAACCGUGGAGGGUCAUUGGAAACUGGGGAACUUGAGUGCAGAAGAGGAAAGUGGAAUUCCAAGUGUAGCGGUGAAAUGCGUA
rnacentral:rRNA from 1 species